rnacentral:tRNA from 2 species
GCGCCCGUAGCUCAGUCGGAUAGAGCGCUGGUUUCCGGAACCAGAGGCCGGGGGUUCGAAUCCUCCCGGGCGCGCCA